rnacentral:rRNA from 1 species
AGACUAAGCCAUGCAAGUUGCGCGCUUCUAAGCUAUGGUAGAGGAGCAGCGUAAGGCUCAGUAAAACAUGGUUAACUUGCCCUCGAGACGGGAAUACCCCCGGGAAACUGGGGAUAAAUCCCGAUAGGCGAGAUGGCUUGGAAUGAUAUCUCGUCUAAAAAACGUUAAGACCAUGCUUCUUUUCGUUGCUCGAGGAUAGGACCAUGUCCGAUCAGGCUGUUGGCGAGGUAACGGCUCACCAAACCUAUAACCGGUACGGGCCGUGAGAGCGGGAGCCCGGAGAUGGAUCCUGAGACAAGGAUCCAGGUCCUACGGGGCGCAGCAGGCGCGAAAACUCCGCAAUGCGCGAAAGCGUGACGGGGUCACCCCGAGUGUCACCUGCUGAAGGUAACUUUUCCUCAGUCUAACCAGCUGAAGGUAAUAAGGGGAGGGCAAGUCUGGUGUCAGCCGCCGCGGUAAUACCAGCUCCCCGAGUGGUAAGGACGAUUAUUGGGCCUAAAGCGUCCGUAGCUGGCUUGAUAAGUUUCCCGUUAAAUCCGACGAUCCAAUCGUCGGGCUGCGGGAAAUACUGUUAAGCUAGGAGGCGGGAGAGGCCGGCGGUACCUUUGGGGUAGGGGUGAAAUCCUAUAAUCCCAAGAGGACCACCAGUGGCGAAGGCGACCGGCCAGAACGCACUCGACGGUGAGGGACGAAAGC